UGGUCCUAGCCUUACCAUCAAGUUUUACUUAAUUUACACAUGCAAGUUUCCGCACCCCGGUGAAAACGCCCUUAAACUCCUUCUAGGAGCACGGAGCUGGUAUCAGGCCCAACCCGCUUUGCCCAUGACACCUAGCCACGCCACACCCCCAAGGGUACUCAGCAGUGAUUAACAUUAAAAAUUAGCGACAGCUAGAUUUAGUUAAAGUAAAAAGGGCCGGCAAAUCUGGUGCCAGCCGCCGCGGCUACACCACGAGGCCCAAUUUGAUGGUCACCGGCGUAAAGCGUGAUUAAAGCGCAUAUUACAACUAGAGCUAAAUUAUAGUUGCACUGUGAUAAGUUUACUAUUUAGAAAACCGAGAACGAAAGUCGCUCUAGCCCAAUCUACUUGAACUCACGACAGCUAAGAAACAAACUGAGAUUAGAUACCUCACUAUGCUUAGCCGUAAACCCUUUAACUACCCACCAAAUCGCCCGGGAACUACGAGCCCAGCCUUAAAACCCAAAGGACUUGACGGUGCCCCACAUCCCCCUAGAGGAGCCUGUCCUAUAAUCGAUGAUCCACGUUUUACCUCACCUCUUCUUGCCAACCCGCCUGUAUACCUCCGUCGUCAGCUCACCGCAUGAGCGGUUAAUAGUGAGCAAAAUGGCCUAGCGCCAAAACGUCAGGUCAAGGUGCAGCAUAUGAAGAGGGCAGAGAUGGGCUACAUUUUCUAAACUAGAAAAUAACGAAAGACUUAAUGAAACCAAGUCAGAAGGCGGAUUUAGCAGUAAAAGGAAACCAGAAAGUCCCUUUUAACACGGCCCAGGGGCAUGUACACACCGCCCGUCGCCCUCUUCGCUGUACCAAGACAGUAUUUAACUAUCUACAACUCCCAAGAAGAGGUAAGUCGUAACAUGGUAAGUAUACCGGAAGGUGUGCUUGGAAC
rnacentral:ncRNA from 1 species